rnacentral:rRNA from 1 species
GAUGAACGCUGGCGGCGUGCCUAAAACAUGCAAGUCGUGCGGCAGCGGGCCUUCGGGUGCCGGCGAGCGGCGGACGGGUGAGUAACGCGUAGGAACGUACCCCAAAGUGAGGGAUAAGCUCCGGAAACGGAGUCUAAGACCGCAUAUGCUCUUAGGAGUAAAGGAGUAAUCCGCUUUGGGAGCGGCCUGCGUCCGAUUAGUUUGUUGGUGAGGUAAUGGCUUACCAAGACGAUGAUCGGUAGCUGGUUUGAGAGGAUGAUCAGCCACACUGGGACUGAGACACGGCCCAGACUCCUACGGGAGGCAGCAGUUAGGAAUUUUCCACAAUGGGGGCAACCCUGAUGGAGCAACGCCGCGUGCAGGAAGACGGCCUUCGGGUUGUAAACUGCUUUUAAAAGUGAAGAUUAUGACGGUAACUUUAGAAUAAGGAUCGGCUAACUCCGUGCCAGCAGCCGCGGUAA